rnacentral:rRNA from 1 species
AGUAGAGUGGCGCACGGGUGAGUAACACGUGGACAACCUGCCUUCGAGUGGGGAAUAACCUUCCGAAAGGAGGGCUAAUACCGCAUAACACCUCGGGACACAAGUUUUGGGGUUGAAAAGAGCAAUUUGCUCGAAGAGGGGUCCGCGCCUGAUUAGCUAGUUGGUGAGGUAACGGCUCACCAAGGCUUCGAUCAGUAGCCGUCCUGAGAGGGAGCACGGCCACACUGGAACUGAGACACGGUCCAGACUCCUACGGGAGGCAGCAGUGGGGAAUUUUUGGCAAUGGGCGAAAGCCUGACCAAGCAACGCCGCGUGGGUGAUGAAGUAUCUUGGUACGUAAAACCCUUUCGGCAGGGACGAACCUAAUGACGGUACCUGCGGAAGAAGCCCCGGCUAACUCCGUGCCAGCAGCCGCGGUAAUACGGGGGGGGCAAGCGUUGUUCGGAAUUACUGGGCGUAAAGGGCGCGUAGG